rnacentral:misc_RNA from 1 species
CGCACCUUGCACCCUUUGGUAUUCCGAAGGGUAUGCCUGUUUGAGUGUCAUUAAUAUUCUCAACCAUUGGCUUGGGUUUUUUUCCCUUGCUAAAUCGUGUUGGAUUUGAGGGUGUUGUGUUGGUCCUCUUUCAAAUUAAUUUUUGAAGUAUGGUCAACUCCCUUUAAAAGCAUUUGUGGGUCUGACCUUUGUGGAUAUGCCUCGAUUUGAUAAUUAUCAAGAUGUCGUCGCAGUGAAGCAAAAGAUCUGCUUUCUAACUGUCCCUGACAAGGACUGCUCCUAUUGGAGUAAUAGAGUCAUUGCCUUUGGGCUCGACUUGUACAAAAUAUUUGACCUCAAAUCAGGUAGGACUACCCGCUGAACUUAA